AGGAGUGGAGCCUGCGGCUUAAUUUGACUCAACACGGGAAACCUCACCAGGCCCGGACACCGGAAGGAUUGACAGAUUGAGAGCUCUUUCUUGAUUCGGUGGGUGGUGGUGCAUGGCCGUUCUUAGUUGGUGGAGCGAUUUGUCUGGUUAAUUCCGAUAACGAACGAGACUCUAGCCUGCUAACUAGGCGUAUUUCGACAUCCCAAAGGCCCGCCGAUUCGGGGUUUCUACUCCGUUAUCGCGCGCGGUUUUUACUGUCGGCGUACAAACAAUUCUUCUUAGAGGGACAGGCGGCUUCUAGCCGCACGAGAUUGAGCAAUAACAGGUCUGUGAUGCCCUUAGAUGUUCUGGGCCG
rnacentral:rRNA from 1 species